rnacentral:lncRNA from 1 species
GCACCAGGUAGUAUAGAAUUAUAGUUAUCCGUACAACUGUGUGUUUCAGACAAGCUCAACAAAGGAUAACCUAUAAAUGAAUUAUAAACAUAGUUAUUACUUAUUCAUAGCUUCCUAAGGAUAUUUGGACCAUCUCGUAAAGGGGGUUCAACAACUUGAAAAGCAAGAGAUCAAACUAAGUAUAUGGCUAAAUUCAUCAUUAAGAAGACGACGCGAUACAUUUUCUUUAAGGAUGUUUCACAACAACACACACUGGAAAUUAUUGAAUGAAAGUUGAACAUACCUUGAAGUGUGAAUAUCACUGAUAGCAACCUCGUCAAUGACGACCUCAAAGUAUCACUGAUAGCGUUGGAAGAGAGAAAGAGAGAAAGGAAGGAAGAGAGAGAGAAGCGGCGCAAGAGAGAAAGAAAGGAAAAGAGAG